UAUCUGUCCUUGAAAAUAAUGAUACAGAUUCACAUAUUUUGAGGUUUGAUUGUCUUUCUCUUUAGACCUCCAGCUACUCUACCACAUCAUACCAAAAUGCAGCUACAGCAGAGAAUAAUACAUUAGUGAUCGCUCUUUCAGUUGCUAUACCAAGCUUUGUGAUUCUUCUCAUCAUAGCUAUAGUUGUGUCAGUAAUUCUACUGAAAAAGAGAAAAAGGGGAAGAAAAGCUACCACACAAAGCAAGCCUGAAUUCAGCAUUCAUUCAGAAAGUAUGCAUACUUGGAAUAAAACGGUAGCAAGUGAAGCCCGUCGGAGACCGCUCCUUGACUGAGAGUAGAAGUCUGUAUGAAUCGACAUGAAAUUUUGGGUCCCGAUCAAAUCCUUAUUUAAGUGAAUAAUGUGAUCCCUUCUACAAUCUGGUUUGUUUUGGAAUCCUGCAGGAUUUUUUGUCAAGUCAGUGUAAAUCUGACUGCAUUCCUGGCACAGAGUCAUGUGAUUGUUAUUUUCUAACUAGUAUUUAUGAAAAACAAAAGCAAGACUUUGCUUAUCCAACUGGUGCCAUGCUGAAUUAUGAAGUAGUUGAACAGUAAAUAAAACGGCAAAACAAUCACACAGAGCUAUUUCACGAAAGAAAAUGUGCACAUGCCAAAAAAGCUGAAAGUUGAUCAAAACCAACACAAAAAGAGCUAAGUGAAAAAUUCAGAAAUCGGAAGGCAAACAGUUUCGGACAUUACGAAAAGAAAAUGUGUCUACUUAAAGCAACAUGGAGAAAACGUCAAGUUAGACCAAUAAACGUUCUUCAUUGGGAAUGGUUUAAAAAGGCUUGUGCAAAAUGCUUCAGACCAAAGCACUUGAAUUUGCAAACCAUCUGAAUAUUGAAGAUUUCAAGGCUUCCAGUGGAUGGCUAGGGAGUUGGUGAUCACGUUGUGCUAUUAAAUUCAGCCAGCUUUCCAGUGAUUCAACCAAUGUAAAUUUAGAGAGUGUGUCUGAAUUCAAAGCAAAACUGGCUGAACUCUGCUGGUGAUGACGUUGGUGACAUUUUUAAUUGUGAUGAAACUUGCCUUUGGUUGAGGUUGUUGCCUGACUGAACACUAGCUCAGGUGACUGAUGAAUGUAAGCGAAGCAAAGGUGCAAAGGAAAGGCUAACUGUUAUUCUGUUACAGUGCAACUGGAGAGGAGUCCAUAUAUAUAUUUAUAGGAAAAGCUGCAAAGCCUCUGUGUUUUGGACACACUGAUCCAGCAACACUACCUGUCACCUGGACAGGCAAUAACAAAGCCUGGAUGACAACUGCACUUUUUUGUGCCUGGCUCAAGGAGCUGAACAAAAUGAUGCACACGAAGAAACGUAACAUUUUACUUCUGCUUGACAAUGCAACCUCUCAUUGCAUUGAGCAGUGUGCAAAUGCUGCUUCUGCCUCCAAACACGACCAGCUUUUUACAGCCUCUGGAGCAGGGCAUUAUUCAGCUUUACCGCAUAUUCUGCUUUACCGUAUGCAUAUGAAUGACUGGGAACAGCAGCUUUUGGCUCAACACCUGAAUCCAGCCACCACCAAUGCAUUGACUUUUAAAGACCAGUCAGAUGUUGAAGAAUAAACUUCAGCUUCACCGUUAUCAAUCAGUGAGGCACUGAAUACGCUUGGGGGGUCUGAGAAUAACCAUUCUACAGAGCAAUCCUGCUGCAGCAUUUUAUUAGACUGGCUGAAAAAAACAUUGACCACAAAAUUGAAAGCUGUAAAUCAUUUCACCUUUUUUAGGUACAGUAUUAGAUGUUUUACAGUACCUCUAUAAACCACCACACAGUAUAAUCCUGAGCAAUUUUCCAGUGCCAAGUGAUUAGACAGGUUAUACUGUAUCUAGUGCUUAUUGAGUUCAGUUGGUUUUUACAUUCUUUCAGCACAAGUUCUUGAGAGUACCAGAAGCUGGUGUUAUAAGGGGCAUAUAUCUGAAUGUUAAACUUUUUUUCAAUGUCCAUGCAGGCCCUGUACUUUUUCUAUUUACAGGGAAUGUCAAUGACAAAGAAGAAAAAUAAGAUUAGUAUACAAUUGUCAUAUAUGCUUGCAGCAAACUCUAAAAAGAUGCUUAUUGGUGUUACAGACUAUAGCUUUUUGUUCAAAAUUGUAUUGUACUAAGGGGGAGUCUCAUUUGGGAAUUUAUGAUAAAUGUAAAACAUCUGUUGCAGUCACAAAUAGAAAUAUGUAAUUUUUGGUCCUAGUACUUUCAGCUAUUUGCAUGUUCUGGCAGUUGUACAGUACUUCAGGUAGCGAGUUUGCUGAGGCCUUGGAAGUUUCACUGCAGUAGUACUCAGAAAGACUACAUAGGAAAUCUAGCAGGAAGAUUUUUUUUUUUGUUCAUAAAACCUUUGUGGAUUAUUUGAACUGUGACAAAAGUGCAUAGCUAACCAGGGGAGCAGACUUCAGGUAAUGUAAAUACAAUCUGAAUAAGACAAGGCCAUCCCUUAUGGGACAUACUGUGUUUGUUCACAAGCAACUAGAAAAUAGUCAUUCAAUUACUUCCUGUGAGGGAAGUCACUGGCACUACAACUACAAAUAUCUCAUAAACCAUUUCAGCUGGCAAUUUCGUUGUAUGUGUAAUGUCACCUUUCAGUUAGACCUGAGAAAUAAAGCCCCUUUCACACUGGCAUCCUGCCCGGGUCCUGGCUGCCCAGGUCACAGUCCUGCGCAGUGUGAAACCACGUACCUGGGUAGUACCCAGGUUAACUCUGGUCCCAGCGACCCACCUCAGAAUGUAGGUUGACACGCUUUGACCCUGGUUGAGCAAGACCAAGUGCAUGAUGGCCAUUGUACUUGUGUCUGUCACUGAGGUCAAAAGCAGUGUGAAGUCGUGUACUCAACACCGACUAGAGCAUGCCAGUGUGAGAGCGGCUUAAGGUGGCUGUUGCAUAGCAACAUCUCAUCAAAUGGAGUCCACCCGUGUAUAUAUGUCACACAUUGCUACAUGUGCCUAGAUAACCCACUUAUUAAUUUGUUAAUAUUCUUUAGCACUGGUAUAAGUAUCAAGACAAUCAGAAUGUGAGGAUGUAUGUCAAACUUGCAUAGCUACUGCUUACAGCUGGUCACUCCGAAGUGCUUUUUUUGAUCGAAAGUGCUUUCACUAGUGUUUGUACCGAGUUUUAGGUUGUUUUUUGAAAAAUGCAAUUAUUGCAGAAAACAGACAACCUAUUAGUAUAAGUGGCCAUUAAAAAAAAAAAAAAAAAACAUGUUUUUGCAAGAUGUGUACAUUAGGACUAAACACCAGUAAAUUAUGCAACUUCAUACAAAAGGUUUGAAGGGCUUUUUAGAAGUUGUUUAAAGUCUUUGAAGUUUACGCUUUGAUCUACAGUGGUAGCCAUAGCCAGCUACCUGUCGCGAGACUGUCACAUUGCUGUAACGCAAAUAGGUGACAAGGUUCCAGUGCUUUUUUUCUGACCAGCUUUGAAUCAGCUGCACAUCAUUAGUCCUGCCACUAGGUGGCAAAAUAACACAAACUAUACUAAGUAUCAAAAGAAACGUACCACUUAUAUUUGGAUAAAAUUCACUAGAUGUGAUUGAAAAA